AGCAGCCCUAGUUCAAACGGACGGUUCGGGCCUCGCGUGCUGCCGGACUCGUACCGGGGCGGACGAUGCUGUGGUAAGCUUCUCUUACUUUGCCUACUACCAAGACCUGUAGAAGAGAAGUUUCUUUCCUCAUUCUGUGGCCUCUAGAAUCAGGAGAACCCGGCAGGCUUGGUCUGGGAGCCAUGGUGACUUGGAACAAUGAAGUGUUCUUGGCUUAGAGCCCCGAUCCAGGGGUACACAUCUGAGUGCAUGCACUCAGGGCCAAUGGAAGCAGCAGUGAUUUAAGCCUCUGGAGAUGUCUCAGCAAGCUGACCUCUUGGUCUCCAUGGCAACUCAAGCUCCAAGCCCCAACUCACCCCUCCGGCCAGAGGACCUCUUGAGUGAUACAGCAGGUCCUCCUGGGCGGAGCCAAGCAACGUUCUCAGAGGUGACCUCUCAGCUUUAUGCUUCCUUGAGGCAAAGCCGAAAGGCAGAGGAAACUGCCAGGACCAGUCUCUACCUGGCCUCCAACUCUCCAACCCCUCCUGAGGAACUCGAGGGCCUGGCCAGAGAGCUGAGCCGAAGCCUGUCCACUGGGGUGGAGACCAGUUCACAGAGAAAGGGAGGCUCCCAGCAUAUCUUGGAGAUGGAAAGCGUACGGGGUCACCUCCAAAGCAUGCUGCAAGCUUCUCGGGACACUGCUCCUCCCCUUCGAUUCCUCUGGCUGCUUGUUCCAGGUACUGUCCCGGAGAGGCGAGAAGAGGACUCUUUUGACAGUGACAGCACAGCCACCCUGCUGAAUUUCUGUGAUUUGCUCAGUACUCGGCCCCUCCAAGAGCUAUCUCCUCCCAGCUCAGCUCCAGCCCUGGAGGAGUUGUUCCCUCGAUAUACUAGUAUCCGGCCUGGAACUCCUCACUACUUUCCUGAUCUGCAAGGACUGAAAGAUGCCUUGGACACAGAACAUACCCGCCGUAGGCACUGUGAGCGUCACAUCCAGAGUCUACAGACCCGAGUGUUAGAACUGCAGCAGCAGUUAGCGGUUGCUGUGGCUGCAGACCGAAAGAAAGAUCUUAUGAUUGAGCAACUGGACAAGACCUUGGCCCGAGUGGUAGAGGGCUGGAACCGACAUGAGGCUGAGCGGACAGAAGUACUUCGGGGGCUGCAAGAGGAACAAAAGGCUGUUGAGCUCACUCGAAGCCAACAGCAAGAGACUAUAGCUCGCCUAGAACAGAGUCUAAAGCAGACCAAGGAGGCCCUGAGUAGGGAGCGGGAAGGGGCCAACCAACAGCAACAGGAGCAAGAGACAUUGAAGGAAGCACGACAAGCUUUAGCUCGUAGCUUAGAGCGGGAACAGCAGCGGUGUCGGACUCUGCAGGAGGAGCGGGAUGAGGCACGGACAGAGCAGUUGAAUCAGCAUAGAGAGCUGGAGGCGCUCCAGGCUGCCUUGGAGGAAAAGCACCAGGCCUGGACCCAGCGUGAACGCCAGCUGGAAGAGCGCUGUAAGAGCUUACAAGAGGAGGGCCGGAUCCAGCUGGAAAGGGAGCAGGCAAACUCCCAGCGGGAGGUACAAGCAGCCCGAGAGGCUCAGCAGCUUCUGGCCUCUGUUCAGUCUGAUGUGCGGAGAUUAGAAGAGGAAUUGGACACAGCACGGCGAGAAAGGGAUGCUCUACAGCUGGAAACCAGCCUGGUGCAGGCCCGGUUUGAAGCCCAGCGAGUACAGAUGGAGUCAGAGCUCGCUAUUUUGCUGGAGCAGAGAGUAACUGAGCGACUAGCCCAGGUGCAAGAGAGCAGCCUUCGCCAAGUGAGCAGUCUUCGGGAACAACACAGGAAGCAGUUACAGGACUUGACUGAGCAGCACCAGCAGGAACUGUCCAGUCAGUUGGAUCAGUUCCAGGUGGAGUUAUCAGAGAGAGAAGAUCGGCAUCAGCAGGUGGCUCAAGACUAUGAGCUCAGAUUGGCUCAUGAGCAGGCCCGUGUACGGGAAUUACGGAUGGCACACCGGCAGCUAGAAGAGCAGCGGGUAGAGCUGGUAGAGAGAUUCCAGUCGAUGCUUCGGGCUCACUGGGAUGAGGCACACCAGCUGCUCAGCACCACAGCCCCUUCUCAGGUCCCUCCCCCUGGUACUCCCAGCUCCUUGGCCUCCUGUCUGAGAGAGCCAGAGAAAGAGGAGAGGAGGGCUUGGAGUAUGCCCCCUGCAGCAGUGGCUCUGAAGCCAGUAUUGCAACAGAACCGGGAGCCAAGGGAGGAGCUGCCUGGAGGCCUCACCCACCCUUGUACCCCCUCACCUGAUCUCAGCCUUCUGCUAGGCCCUAAUUUCCAGAGCCAGCAUAGCUUUCAGCCUUUGGAGCCUAAACCUGAUAUUACUCCACCCCCAGCAGCUGGAGGCUUUCCUCCUGAGCACUUAGCAGAGCGGCCAUAUCCUGAGGCUCUUGGCGCUAGAGGAGAAGGGCCGCUGGAGCAAGGCUUGCCCCCUCCACAGUUGGAAGAGCUGAAGCACUAUCUGCACCAGUUCUUGGAACCAGUGCCCCAGAGCUGUGUGAGUCCCACCACUGAUCCGCUGCCCCCUAAACCUGGUCCCCUGACAGUUCCCCCUUGGGAGGAAGCCCCUCCACUACCACGGCCCCCACCUCCUGUCCACAAAACAAAAGUACCACUGGCCAAGGCAUCCUGUCUUUUCCGGGUACCUGAGCCCCCUCCAACUCCUCCACCAAGCUACAGCCAUGAAGGUUGCUCCCCGGAGAGAGGUGGAGAGGGGAGACCAAUAUCCCCCCGGCAACUGGCAGAGCUAUCCCGGCUGCUACGACAGUACCAGGCCCGAGGCAACGGGGGCCCAUCCUCUGAGGAUCUUUUACUGUACUUAAGGGGGUCAGAGCAUAGUGGGUAAAAGGACUGGAUGGGGGAAGGAGGGAUAAGACUAUGGGGGACCAGGGAAGUAUGAGAAACAGUGGGGCUUUGCCAUCUCCCUUGUUGGGUGGUUUGGUCUGUUCAAGGUGGAAAAGCAAGAAGGCAGGCACUGCCCUUCUAUAUUUCUUCUUGCUCUCUACGCUUCCUCCCUCUUCUCUCUUUCUUCAAAAUCUUCCCACUCCAGAGCCCCUCCCGCUCAAGGCUGUGUCAUCCUGACCUCUCAGUUCCUAGCAUUUCUUUUCUCCAUUGUCUUCUCCCUCCGUAUGCCUUCCUGCUCUCACCUUACCUCUUGGGAUAACAUGACAUUACCGCCUCUGUUCUGAGCUGCUGGUGGGCAUCCCUCCCAGGGCUGGGGCAGUGUUGAAUGUCCUACCGCAUUGCUUCUCAAUUUGUGUGACAGAGUUGAAGGUCGAGGGGAUGGCAUCCCCAGAAGGAAUGUAGACACACGCUUGGGAGAGGUUCUCCGGAAAGAGGCCUCAUGCCGUCGAUCUACCAGUACUCAUAAGGCUGAGAAGCCAGUGGGCAAGAAGAAAAGUGGCCAUCCCGCACCAGGCAGUGCUAGGAGUCGAAGUGGAGUCUGGAGAUAGCCCCUGUGUUCUGCCCCCAGCCCCUUAACGUUUUUUAAAAGAAAUGUUUUAUUUAAUAAAAACUAGUUGGUUGC